rnacentral:lncRNA from 1 species
AAGAUGACUCCAACACCAUCACAGAAUGCCCAACUCUGCCACAGGGCCACUCAUGGACUCAGCCUUGACCCAGGUGGAAGCAGCAGGUGGAAGGGGUGCCUGGGCAGAGGCAGAAUGCCAGAAAAGAGUGUAUGGAAAACUGCCUGCUCUGAACAGGAAGCUGAGGAAGAGAAGAGGCCAAUUUGAUGAGACAGGAGAGUCCAGUGCUUUCCAAAAGGAAGAGGCUGCAGCGACAACAAUGACAAGAAAGCACCUGCUGCUCCAGCCUUCCCGGCCAAGUUGCUGAGCCAGCUGCAAGGGAGCGUGGACUCAGGCGAGCCCAGAUGACCCAGAUUCCGGUCUCACUCAGACAGGAGAUAAAAGCAGCCUGAGGCGCAGACAAGCCAAGCCAACCAAGGUGCUGCAGCGUUAAUGUAUGCAUGACGUCACCAUAGCUCCUUUGCCCUCCUGCCCUUCCCCAGA